rnacentral:rRNA from 1 species
UUCCGGUUGAUCCUGCCAGAGGUCAUUGCUAUUGGGGUCCGAUUUAGCCAUGCUAGUUGUGCGAGUUCAGCCUCGCAGCAAAUAGCUCCGUAACACGUGGCCAAACUACCCUACGGAGGAGGAUAACCUCGGGAAACUGAGGCUAAUACUCCACACCGUACUCACGCUGGAAUGCCGAGUACACCAAACGCUCCGGCGCCGUAGGAUAUGGCUGCGGCCGAUUAGGUAGACGGUGGGGUAACGGCCCACCGUGCCGAUAAUCGGUACGGGUUGUGAGAGCAAGAGCCCGGAGAUGGAUUCUGAGACAAGAAUCCAGGCCCUACGGGGCGCAGCAGGCGCGAAACCUUUACACUGCACGCAAGUGCGAUAAGGGGACCCCAAGUGCGAGGGCAUACAGUCCUCGCUUUUCUGUACCGUAAGGUGGUACAGGAAUAAGUGCUGGGCAAGACCGGUGCCAGCCGCCGCGGUAAUACCGGCAGCACGAGUGAUGACCGAUAUUAUUGGGCCUAAAGCGUCCGUAGCCGGCCAAGCAAGUCCGUCGGGAAAUCCACCAGCCUAACUGGUGGGCGUCCGGCAGAAACUGCCUGGCUUGGGACCGGAAGACUCGAGGGGUACGUCUGGGGUAGGAGUGAAAUCCCGUAAUCCUGGACGGACCGCCGAUGGCGAAAGCACCUCGAGAAGACGGAUCCGACGGUGAGGGGCGAAAGCUAGGGUCUCGAACCGGAUUAGAUACCCGGGUAGUCCUAGCCGUAAACGAUGUCUGUUAGGUGUGGCACCCACUACGAGUGGGUGCUGUGCCGUAGGGAAGCCGCUAAACAGACCGCCUGGGAAGUACGUCCGCAAGGAUGAAACUUAAAGGAAUUGGCGGGGGAGCACUACAACCGGAGGAGCCUGCGGUUUAAUUGGACUCAACGCCGGG